rnacentral:rRNA from 1 species
GCUUGUCUCAAAGAUUAAGCCAUGCAUGUCUCAGCAUAAGCUUCAACACGGUGAAACUGCAAAUGGCUCAUUAAAGCAGUUACAAUUUAUUUGAUGGUGACUUACUACAUGGAUAACCGUAGUAACCUAGAGCUAAUACAUGCACAAAAUCCCGACUUCACGGAAGGGAUGUAUUUAUUAGAUAAAAAACCAAUCCGGCAACGGUGCUUGGUGAUUCAUAAUAACUGUUCGAAGCGCACGGCCUCGCGCCGGCGCUAGUUCAUUCAAAUUUCUGCCCUAUCAGCUUUCGACGGUAGUGUAGUGGACUACCGUGGCGCUAACGGGUGACGGAGAAUUAGGGUUCGGUUCCGGAGAGGGAGCCUGAGAAACGGCUACCACAUCCAAGGAAGGCAGCAGG